UAUCUCUAACUUUUUCACUUCUGAUUUUGAUUAAUUUAAUUGAUUAUGAAUUAGUAUUUGAUUCUUGCUUUUAACUAACUUUAUGAAUCAGUAGUUAAAUUUGAUAUUAAAUUGAUUCAUUAAUAAAAUGUGGUCUCAUCUUUGUGAUAAUUUGUUCUAAGGCAAGGGUUUAAAACAAAAAGAUUAUCAAAAAGGAUUUAUGACUUGUUUGGACUGGCUUAUUUGAGCUUAUCUACUGACUUAUGUUAUGUGAGGUUGUUCAAGAGAACUUAUGAAAGUAAUUUAUGACAGUUUUCAAAACCUUUUUUCAUAAGUUCUCUAAUAUAGCUUAUAAAAACAACUUACAGCAUAUACGAGAAUAAUUUAAUUUAAUUUUAUCUUUUGCUAUAGAUAAAUUAUGUGAACUUAUACGUAAGUUCUUAUCAUGAUAAGUUAUUUAUCCAAACAUGCCCUUAGUGUAUUUAUUUAUGAUAAUCUCUUUCACUCACAGUCAAUACUUGACAUGCUAUUACAGGAUGUACACAAGAUGGUCUAGUUGCAAUUGAGGAAUUAUUAUAUUGACUCUAGUUCUUCUAGCUGAGUUAUAUUAAAUCUUGGAGUUGAUUAGUUAUAUGAAUCACCUUCUAAAUUGUGUUGUCAAUUAGGAUCCUAGGUAGUGGCACUUUCCAGUUUGGUUGUUUGGAGUCAAAAUAUUAUAUAUGAAUAAUAUCGAAACUGAUUUUUUAUGUUGUUAAAGUAUGAUGGACUUCUAGAAGUGACUCACUUAUUUGUUAGUUAUUUAUUUUUCAAAUCUCAAUCAUGUAUGAUUUUCAUUUGAUAUGUUGAUGCUAUGGACAAUUUAGACAUCAGAAGCAAUUUUAUUAUGUUGGAGUCAAUUAUAAUUUUUUAGUUUUGGUAUUUGCUAGGCACCUCAAUCACGUAGACAACUAAUGACUCUUACAAUGGUGAAACUUUUGGAUCUUUGGAAUCUACAAGUGAGGGCAGGGGAGAAGAGGAAAGAAAGAUGACAGAGAACUUGAUAUAGUCCUCUUGCUUGUAGUUUUUUUUGGUGGCAAAGGAGUUAUGGAAAAUGUGCUUGUAGUUAAUCUUGGUUUAUCAUUAUAGAAUUUCUUUCAGAUGUGUUUUAGCUGCAAGCUGUUAAAGUAUUAAGUUGUGCCAACAUUGUGUAAUAGCAUAGAUUUUUGGAUUUAUUUGAAGUCAUUGGACUAGGUUAGGUGUAGAUCAAUUUCUGUAGUAAGUGCGAAUUCAUGACAAGGUUUAGAUUUUGUGGAUGGUUUUAUCUACAAGUUGGUAUGAAAUUAAAGUUCUAUGUUGAUAUUUUGUGUUAAA